rnacentral:misc_RNA from 1 species
GCAAACUUGGUCAUUUAGAGGAAGUAAAAGUCGUAACAAGGUCUCCGUUGGUGAACCAGCGGAGGGAUCAUUACCGAGUUUAUAACUCCCAAACCCCAUGUGAACGUACCAUUUCUCCGUUGCUUCGGCGGUGCCGCCCCGGGCGCGGGCCUCUCGUCAGGCCGCCAGCCCCGGAACCAGGCGCCCGCCGGAGGACCACCAAAACUCUGUCUUAUAUAGCGGCUUCUUCUGAGUCUUCCUUCUGCGCUCUCCGGGGCGCAGAGGAGGGAAAAAAAAACAAAAUGAAUCAAAACUUUCAACAACGGAUCUCUUGGCUCUGGCAUCGAUGAAGAACGCAGC